rnacentral:rRNA from 1 species
UACAGAGGUCUCAAGCGUUGUUCGGAUUCAUUGGGCGUAAAGGGUGCGUAGGCGGCGCGGUAAGUCGGGUGUGAAAUCUCGGAGCUUAACUCCGAAACUGCAUUCGAUACUGCCGUGCUUGAGGACUGGAGAGGAGACUGGAAUUUACGGUGUAGCGGUGAAAUGCGUAGACUAUCGUAAGGAAGACCAGUGGCGAAGGCGGGUCUCUGGACUGUAACUGACACUGAGGCACGAAAGCGUGGGGAGCAAACAGG